UACGUAGGCGGCAAGCGUUGUCCGGAUUUAUUGGGCGUAAAGAGCGUGUAGGCGGCUAUACAGGUCCGCUGUGAAAACUCGAGGCUUAACCUCGAGAUGUCAUCGGAAACCAUUUGGCUAGAGUCCGGAAGAGGAAAGUGGAAUUCCUGGUGUAGCGGUGAAAUGCGCAGAUAUCAGGAAGAACACCAAUGGCGAAAGCAGCUUUCUGGGACGGUACUGACGCUGAGACGCGAAAGCGUGGGGAGCGAACAGG
rnacentral:rRNA from 1 species